GGCUACAGCUCAGAGGUAGAGCACUUGCCUAGCAUGUAAUCAGGCCCUGGGUUCAAUCCCUAGAGCCA
rnacentral:tRNA from 1 species